rnacentral:misc_RNA from 1 species
AACGCACAUUGCGCCCCUUGGUAUUCCGAGGGGCAUGCCUGUUCGAGCGUCAUUAUAAACCACUCAAGCUUAGCUUGGUAUUGGGGUUCGCGUGCCCGCGGCCCUUAAAAUCAGUGGCGGUGCCGUCUGGCUCUAAGCGUAGUAAUUCUCUCGCUAUAGAGUCCUGCCGGUUACUUGUCAGAACCCCCCACAUUCUUAGGUUGACCUCGGAUCAGGUAGGGAUACCCGCUGAACUUAA